GAUGAAGAACGCAGCGAAAUGCGAUAAGUAAUGCGAAUUGCAGAAUUCAGUGAGUCAUCGAAUCUUUGAACGCACAUUGCGCCCGCCAGUAUUCUGGCGGGCAUGCCUGUUCGAGCGUCAUUACAACCCUCAAGCCCCCGGGCCUGGCGUUGGGGAUCGGCGGAAGCCCCCUGCGGGCACAACGCCGUCCCCCAAAUACAGUGGCGGUCCCGCCGCAGCUUCCAUUGCGUAGUAGCUAACACCUCGCAACUGGAGAGCGGCGCGGCCACGCCGUAAAACACCCAACUUCUGAAUGUUGACCUCGAAUCAGGUAGGAAUACCCGCUGAACUUAAGCAUAUCAAUAAGCGGAGGA
rnacentral:misc_RNA from 1 species